rnacentral:rRNA from 1 species
UACGGAAGGUCCGGGCGUUAUCCGGAUUUAUUGGGUUUAAAGGGAGCGUAGGCCGGAGAUUAAGCGUGUUGUGAAAUGUAGACGCUCAACGUCUGCACUGCAGCGCGAACUGGUUUCCUUGAGUACGCACAAAGUGGGCGGAAUUCGUGGUGUAGCGGUGAAAUGCUUAGAUAUCACGAAGAACUCCGAUUGCGAAGGCAGCUCACUGGAGCGCAACUGACGCUGAAGCUCGAAAGUGCGGGUAU